AGCUAGCACUGCAGUGCAUAACGUGUGGUGAGUAGCUGACUCAAAGAGAGAAAGACAAUAGGUGAACCGUUUUGAACAAAUUAAUUGAUUAAAAAAAAGUAGAAGCAAAAAAUAUUUCAUUUUUUUCACUUUCACUUUCCUUUACUUAGCUGGUAAAUGCAGCUAGCUAAUUUAGCCUACUCAAACACCCAGCUCAAACAGAGGGAUGCUAUGUUAGCUAGCUGGCUAUGACUAUCCAACACAACACUGGAACUUUUCCAAGUCUAGGUCCUUGGAUUCCUAGCUGUGGUGGCAGGAGACUGGUCCCAGGCAAUGACAGAAAGAAUGGUGGGCCAUUCGGCCAUGACGGAAAUUAAUGAGACAUGCAUCGGUAAUGAGAUUACAAAGCUGUAGCAGAGGAGCCAGGAAGGAAGACCACCAGGUACAUGCUGUCACAGCCUCACCUCCACUGCGGAGAGCAGAGACACACCUGUGUGCCUCAGCUAACACUCAAUACAGUGCCAGCGUGGAUGGUGGAGACAUGGCAGUCCCUGCUGCUGAAAGACAUCCCCACAGCAUGAUGCUGCCACCAACAUGCUUCACCAUUGGGAUGGUGCCAGGUUUCCUCCAGAUGUGAUGCCUGGCAUUCAGGCCAAAGAAUUCAAUCUUGGUUUCAUC
ensembl:lncRNA